AUGCUCCCUUUGGCAGCACAUAAACUAAAACUGGAAUGAUACAGAGAAGAUUAGCAUGUCCCCUGCACAGGAUGAUACACAAAUUCGUGAAGCAUUUCAUAAAAGA